rnacentral:lncRNA from 1 species
UUGGUACUGAAAUUAAUGGAAAAGAUACGAGUAAAACUAGAAAAAAAUGAUAGAAUGCGAUUUAUGUUGAUUCCUGGUCAAGUGAACACAAGCCGGCCCACUGAACCAGAAGAAAAGAGUAAUAGAACUCUUGAAAGAGAAGAUAAAACCCACCGUAUCCAGAUAUUGCUGGGAAGAAAAAUAAAAACAACUAUUAAAAAUUUAAAAUCACUUUU